GACGAACGCUGGCGGCGUGCUUAACACAUGCAAGUCGAACGGAAAGGCCCCUUCGGGGGUACUCGAGUGGCGAACGGGUGAGUAACACGUGAGUAACCUGCCCCUGACUUUGGGAUAACUUCAGGAAACUGGGGCUAAUACCGGAUAGGAAUACUUGCUGCAUGGUGGGGGUUGGAAAGCUUCGGCGGUUUUGGAUGGACUCGCGGCUUAUCAGCUUGUUGGUGGGGUAGUGGCUUACCAAGGCGUUGACGGGUAGCCGGCCUGAGAGGGCGACCGGCCACAUUGGGACUGAGAUACGGCCCAGACUCCUACGGGAGGCAGCAGUGGGGAAUAUUGCACAAUGGGCGGAAGCCUGAUGCAGCAACGCCGCGGGCGGGAUGACGGCCUUCGGGUUGUAAACCGCUUUCAGCAGGGGCGAAGCUUGUGGUGACGGUACCUACAGAAGAAGCACCGGCUAACUACGUG
rnacentral:rRNA from 1 species